GGUGGUCUGGGACGCGGGACUCGGUAUCCCUGGUUCCUGACACGCAGCGUGGAUGUGGCCGCCUUUCCCCGGGGCUGACCGCCCGCACCGCACGGACGAGGCCGAGGUGUCACGGCCCAGUCACGGCCCGGCGGCAGCGCAGGUUCCAGGUUCUUUAAGCUGUGCCUGGAGGGCAUCUCUGUGGGGAUAGGCCCUCAUGUGCACACAGGUCUGCGGAACGCUUCAGCAUAAGGAAACUCUUCUGGAUUUGAGGUGCAUUCCUUCAGCUCUAAGGAGCACAACUUUGUGCUGCAAGAUCUUCUCCUAUUGUAAGAUUACCUUUGAUUUCUUGUCUGUAGUGGGAUCUGUACCAAUGUAGAUCUCACACUUCAGAUUAUAUAAACUGUUAAGAUUA